rnacentral:misc_RNA from 1 species
UUCAUGCACACGAGACGAUUCACGAUUGUCCCAACAUGGUCCCAAGCUCAAGUAAAAACUAGAAAAGAAUUCGAAAAGUGAAAUCAAUAUCAUAUCAGCAUAAGUUAACAUUCCAUUUGUCAUCAUUUGCAACGUAAUGAAGACCAUUUUGUUGAAGCUGGACAAAAAUUCUAAGUUCUGUCAUCAAUCCUGCAGCUGUGCAUGUUUUGUAAAUGGUGAAUCUCAAAUGAAUCCAAGAACUUUGAGUCGUCAUUUUACUUAAUUGACUUUCUUUUCAAAUUUUAAAAAUGGUGAUAAAUGAAGGGUACUUACCUGAGCAGCUGAGCUCUGCCUUUCUGUGGUUCCUUUCAAUUGAUUCAUUUGAGUUUAAUCCCUCGCCGCUGUUCCAGACCUUAUCCACUAGUGGAAUAUGCCGAGAGAUGUUGAACUUAUUCCAGGUUAUCCCUUCGCCAUUGUGCUACAAUUUGAAGAAGUUGACUGUUUCACAAGAGCUUUUGCUUUCAAUUAAUAUCUAUAAAUUGUGUAAAUGUGAUAACUUACAAGUGCAUAUCUGGGCUCCUUUCUUUUAUGUGCCCCGUUUCCCUAACUAAAUAAUAUCCAAUGCCCGCCGGUAGUCACUCACCCGCUGUGAAACCAGAAGGAUGAGGAGGGCUUUGUUUUGAAUUUCAUCACUUAUUUACGCGUCGAAAUUUCUUAACGUUCAUUGAACAAAUAUGCGCAUUUUAAUUUA